UUUCCAAAAUAUCCUGUCAUGCUCAUUUAUUUAAUCAAAAUAAAACAUUUGCAUAAUUCGCAGCGGAUAAAGUCUAACAACAAUGCUAAACAUGUAACACAUUACAUGUAAACUUGUUCAACAAUCAUCAAUGAAAAACAAGUAAAACGUCCCGUCCCGAUGUUACAUCUACCAGAGCAUGACCCACUAAGGAACUACACUAGACUCCAAGGACUAGCUUCUACUCAAUCACUGCUCGUUACCU
rnacentral:lncRNA from 1 species